rnacentral:lncRNA from 1 species
GAACAAAUUUUCCUCUAAAAUUUAUGUGUUCUUAAGUUUCAAGAUGGAUUGAGUUUGAAUGCUGUGAUAUUGCUGGUUUUGGUUGCUUAGUUUCAUAGGGUUUUUGCUUAUGUCUUUGCUGCUUUUUCUCCUUGAAGAUUCACAUCCUUGUUCUUAUUCUUUGUAACCAGGUAUAUCUUGAUCUUUGAACCAUGAAUACAAGUUUGUAUUGAAGAGUGUCUUGCUGCAAUGAAGCCUUGGAGUUCAUAUUUACACAUUUUUGUUUCUUUCCAAUGUUUUACCUUUAAGUCAUUUGAAUACUGCUCUUUUGACUUUUCUUAUUAGCUGAUAUGUAGUUACAUUAAAGUCUUGUAGUGAGGAUUCAUGAGAUAAUCAGGAUAUUUAGUGUUGAUAGGGUGUGAACAACACCUCUUGCAUAUGCUGAGUUUAGGUUGAGUAGUCCAGUUUUAAAAUAAAAAUAUUUACUUUAAGUCUUUUG